UUAAAAUUGUUGCAGUUAAAAAGCUCGUAGUUGAAUUUCUGCUGCAUUACAUAUCUCUUGUUUGAGUUUGUUUUUGUGGCUUAUUUCGGUUUGAUUUUUUCUUUCCGGAUGAUUACUUUGAGAAAAUUAGAGUGCUCAAAGCAGGCUUUUGCCUUGAAUAGUUUAGCAUGGAAUAAUAAAGUAGGACUUUGGUUCUAUUUUGUUGGUUUUAGGUACCAAAGUAAUGGUUAAUAGGAACAGUUGGGGGCAUUCGUAUUUAACUGUCAGAGGUGAAAUUCUUAGAUUUGUUAAAGACAAACUACUGCGAAAG
rnacentral:rRNA from 1 species